UACGUAGGGGGCAAGCGUUGUCCGGAAUCAUUGGGCGUAAAGAGCGUGUAGGCGGCCUGAUAAGUCGGCUGUGAAAGUCAAGGGCUCAACCCUUGAAUGCCGGCCGAUACUGUCAGGCUAGAGUCCGGAAGAGGCGAGUGGAAUUCCUGGUGUAGCGGUGAAAUGCGCAGAUAUCAGGAGGAACACCUAUGGCGAAGGCAGCUCGCUGGGACGGUACUGACACUGAGAGACGAAAGCUAGGGGAGCGAAUGGG
rnacentral:rRNA from 1 species